rnacentral:rRNA from 1 species
GGUCCGAGUUGUAAUUUGUAGAGGAUGCUUUAGGCGCGGCGCCUUCCGAGUUCCCUGGAACGGGACGCCGGAGAGGGUGAGAGCCCCGUACGGUUGGACGCCUAGCCUGUGUAUAGCUCCUUCGACGAGUCGAGUAGUUUGGGAAUGCUGCUCUAAACGGGAGGUAAAUUUCUUCUAAAGCUAAAUACCGGCCAGAGACCGAUAGCGCACAAGUAGAGUGAUCGAAAGAUGAAAAGCACUUUGAAAAGAGGGUUAAAUAGCACGUGAAAUUGUUGAAAGGGAAGCGUUUGCGACCAGACCUUUUCC